rnacentral:lncRNA from 1 species
UGUGGCUGUUUGGCAUUAGCAAGAGCUUUGUACCAUGCUUACCAGUAGUGAAGAUCAUCGAUCCAUAAAAAGGUGAUGAGUUCUGAACUCUACCGACAUAAUCUAAAAGUUAGAUCAGAUUCAGAGUAUCUAUGUGAUCGAUGUAGUUUUCUAUUUUAUAUCAAAUUUUAUAUAUAAAUUUUUUAUGUCAUAGAUUCUUAAUGAUAUUUAGAUCUGAUCUAAAGUAUAUUUAAAAAAUUAAAAAUUUAAUAUUUUAUUAUUCUGCUGUAAAAUUUUAAAAGUACAUGCU